UGAGAAUGGUUCUGUGGGGCCCUG
rnacentral:misc_RNA from 1 species